CUUCCAACUCCAUCCAUGUUGCUGCAAAAGGUUGGCAUCCAGACACCGACAGAAGAUUUCUGGUGUGUUGUGUUCCUUGGCCAUCAACUGCUGCUAAUGUCACACUUGUGCCUUGUUCUUUGUUGAUCCUGUAUUCACUGUAUUUGAUAAGACAGUGACAGAGCUGUUUACAGUAGCAAGGACAUGGAAAUGAAUGAAGUGCCCAUUGAUAGAGACUGAAUCAAG